CCUACGGGCGGCAGCAGUGGGGAAUAUUGGACAAUGGGCGAAAGCCUGAUCCAGCCAUGCCGCGUGUGUGAAGAAGGCCUUCGGGUUGUAAAGCACUUUCAGUGGGGAAGAAAGCCUUGGGGCUAAUACCCUCGAGGAAGGACAUCACCCACAGAAGAAGCACCGGCUAACUCCGUGCCAGCAGCCGCGGUAAUACGGAGGGUGCGAGCGUUAAUCGGAAUUACUGGGCGUAAAGCGCGCGUAGGCGGUCUGAUAAGCCGGUUGUGAAAGCCCCGGGCUCAACCUGGGAACGGCAUCCGGACCUGUCAGGCUAGAGUGCAGGAGAGGAAGGUAGUAUUCCCGGUGUAGCGGUGAAAUGCGUAGAGAUCGGGAGGAAUACCAGUGGCGAAGGCGGCCUUCUGGACUGACACUGACGCUGAGGUGCGAAAGCGUGGGUAGCAAACAGGAUUAGAUACCCGAGUAGUC
rnacentral:rRNA from 1 species